rnacentral:rRNA from 1 species
CAAUGGAACUGAGAAACGGUCCAUACUCCUACGGGAGGCAGCAGUGAGGAAUAUUGCACAAAUGGGGGAAACCCUGAUGCAGCAACGCCGCGUGAAACGAUGAAGGCCUUCGAGUUGUAAAAGUUCUUUUAUGGGGGACGAUAGUUGACGGUACCUCAGGAAUAAGUCCCGGCUUAACUACGUGCCAGCAGCCGCGGUAAAACGUAGGGAGCGAGCGUUAUCCGGAUUUAUAGGGCGUAAAGCGCAAGUAGGCAGCGUUGUAAGUUGGACGUGAAAGCUCCCGGCUCAACUGGGAGAGGUCGGUUCAAAACUACAAGUGCUCGAGGUUUGGAAGAGGAGAGUAGAAUUCCUGGUGUACUGGUGGAAUGCGUAGAUAUCGGGAGGAAUACCAGUGGCGAAAGCGACUCUCUGGUCCACACCUGACGCUGAGGUUCGAAAGCGUGGGUAGCGAACGGGAUUAGAUACCCCGGUAGUCCACGCCGUAAACGAUGGAUACUAGGUGUAGGGGGUCACUGAAUCCCUCUGUGCCGUAGCAAACGCGUUAAGUAUCCCGCCUGGGGACUACGGCCGCAAGGUUAAAACUCAAAGGAAUUGACGGGGGCCCGCACAAGCAGCGGAGCGUGUGGUUUAAUUCGAUGAUACGCGAAGAACCUUGCCUGGGCUGAACUACGUGGUAGUAGAGAAGCGAAAGCGGAUCGACCCUUCGGGGAGCCUCGAUAGGUGCUGCAUGGCUGUCGUCAGCUCGUGUCGUGAGAUGUUGGGUUAAGUCCCGCAACGAGCGCAACCCUUGUCGUUAGUUAUACGUGUCUAGCGAGACUGCCGGUAUCAAACCGGAGGAAGGUGGGGAUGACGUCAGGUCAGCAUGGUCUUUAUGUCCAGGGCUACACACACGCUACAAUGGCCGGUACAACAGGUUGCUAUACCGCGAGGUGGAGCUAAUCCCUAAAGCCGGUCUCAGUUCGGAUUGCAGUCUGCAACUCGACUGCAUGAAGGUGGAGUUGCUAGUAACCGCGCGUCAGCAAUAGUGCGGUGAAUGCGUUCCCGGGCCUUGUACACACCGCCCGUCACAUCAUGGAAGUCGGUAACACCUGAAGUCGGUGACCU